CUGAAUGUGAAUUAGCUGCAAGUGUAGGCAAGGACAAGCCAAGCUCAGCAGAGUUUCUGCAGCCACGGUGAGACCUGGCUGGAAGCAGGGAUAAACCUGGGCAGCAGAGCAGGCCUGUUUAACCCUUCCAGCCUUCCUGACCUCCUCAAGCACAAACACCAGUUCUCUCUCCAUGCACUGUCAUUCCCUCUCCACCAAGGAAGCAAGAAAAACAGGUUACCGCUCAGCAAAGAAGCAAGUCAGAAUGAAUAUGAAAACUGCUGCAAAGAAGUCAAAUUCUUGAAAGCAAGGAAAGAUUGGAAACAUCUACCAAGCUUCCCCAGCCUUCAAAAAUUGGGUGUGCAGGCUGUGGAUAUUCAGGGGCAUCCCACAGAGGUGUGA
rnacentral:lncRNA from 1 species